GCUGAACGCUGGCGGCGUGCCUAAUACAUGCAAGUCGAGCGAAGCGGGGACGGGUGAGUAACACGUGGAUAACCUCCUAUAAGACGGGGAUAACUUCGGGAAACCGGAGCUAAACCGGAUACUUAUCGAUGGAUACGCGCGGCAUUAGCUAGUUGGUAAGGUAACGGCUUACAAAGGCAACGAUGCAUAGCCGGCCUGAGAGGGUGAUCAGCCACACUGGAACUGAGACACGGUCCAUACUCCUACGGGAGGCAGCAGUAGGGAAGCUUCCGCAAUGGGCGAAAGCCUGACGGAGCAACGCCGCGUGAGUGAUGAAGGUCGUCGGAUCGUAGAACUCUGUUAUUAGGGAAGCGGUACCUAAUCAGAAAGCCACGGCUAACUACGUGCCAGCCGCCGCGGUAAUAC
rnacentral:rRNA from 1 species